ensembl:lincRNA
GCGAACUACGGAUCUGUUUUAAAACGAGAACGUUUAAACACAGGUGGCCUAAAAGAUGGAAAUGACGUAACGGGUUUUGCUAGUGACCAUAGAAACUAGUUUUUGGUUGUUCGCAAAAGAUGACUCAACAAAUAAGCAGAAGAUUUAGUCAAAUAAAUAGUAUUUACUUUUUUGGGUUGAUUUUAUUCCACUGAUUUAGUCUUCAGGAAUCUUCAGGAAUGCUAUGUUUCUUAUUACAACAAUAAUAUACACAAUACAUACGAGAGUAUAUAUAAAAUCAUCGGGGUACAUUACAAUUGCAUUUGAGAAAAAGGUUAAAUGAGUGACGUGCACCCUGGUGUAGAUGGAGAUGUGGGAGCAACGGUUGGAGAGAAGGCUUUGUGCUAGCGCCCCCUGCCAGCAGUGCAGCGUGGGGGCACACGCCGACAGCACUGGCUUCUCUCUCCCCUGUGACACUCGAUGGUUGGAGCGCAGAGUAAACAGAGAUGAUCACCCCAUGCUGUCCUGGGACAGGCUGAGCCUGGGGGGUGUACUGUAUGACAGUGUGGAGACUAGCAUCAGGCCCAGCAGGACAGAGGGGUGGUGGUUGAGCCUGGGAUGGUCGUACUCCAGGCCCCGUUCAUCGACACCAGCAUGAGCUUGUCCUCGCCUCCCUCACAGGACAGAGCUGAGGAGCUGCGGUUGGUGACACCUGUCAUCGCGGUGGUCUGGUGUCUGCGGGGACUGUGCUAUCUGCUCAGCCCCUCUCCACGCAGCCUGAGCACUGAGUCCAGUUCUGCUGUCCCCCUCCCAGGCUUCCCUUGCCUUUCCACCACUAUGACAGUUACAGAUCACAAAAAAACCCCCACCAACUCUUCUACAGCCUGACAGCCAUUAAACAUAGUAUGCAUUCAUGGCCCUGAACAAACAUGACACAUCUUGCCCUGCUGAUUGCUCAGGGAUCCUUCGGAAAAUAAGCCUGAUGAUGAUCCCUCCUGCACAUAAUAAGCAAUCAUUGGUGCUUCAUUUGUAGGGUAUUAACAGACUAACUUGCUACUGUAUGUGUUGCAACAGUUUUCCGAAACACACGAGGUUAAAGAAAGUCAGUUCGGGCAGUGAGGAAAAGCUGAAAGCCUCUUUCUGAUUUAAAUCUAAAUUUAAAACGCUCGGCUCUGCCCCCGCGCUGAACCAGGGAGGCCGUGGGGACACGAAGACCCAUGAGGUUAACACCCUGUCCAGCCAGUCGGUGUCUGGUGUCGAGCUGAAUUAAAGCAAUGUCAACACAUUCAUUCUGACGGGAUCCAUUUCAGUCUCUGACUGUCGGCCUCUGCCAAACCAGGGUCAGCCAGGCUCUGAGCGGUAGCCAGCAGCACAGGCCUGGCACGGACACAGCACUCCAACCUCCAGGAAAAGCGACACAGAGACUGGGACUCAAGUCAGAUGUAAUGUCAAGGCCUUUUGCUCCAAUACAAACUGUAGGUCGAGGGUCUCCAGCUCCAGAUAAAAUCAAGCUAGCUUUCUGCAGUCGUUUUGAUAAAUAGUCGUAUGAAUGCAUUUCAUUUCCCAGUCCCGGAACUGCUACCUCUUAACGCCAUUUGCAACUUUAAACAGAUUGUAGCUGCUUUUGGAUCAUGAAGAGCAUAUUUCCCUCAGGAGCAAGAAAGCUUUGGAAAUCCAUGUGCAUGUCGGGGAUGUGUGAGCCGUCCUGCGUCGGACACACAUCUGUCUGGAGUGAGCAAACAUGGAGAAUGGGUUGCAUUGUUCGGGAACACUUGUAAUAUAAAGCAAAGAACUGGAAACAGCUAAAAUGACGCUAGCUGAGUACACAGCUGAAAUGUUCCAGGUUUGUACUCCGUGUUUUACCCCAGAUAUGAACACGACCUGAAUAGCAUUACUUUCCCAUGACUUCACCUAAGAAAGUUCAACCUUUGUUCAUCAAAAGCUCUUCAUGUCAAAGCAAAUGAUUGAAAAUGUCAGAAAACAAUGUUUGCUGGCAGUGCCGGGUGGCCCGAGGUGCUUUUCUGUGAGUGUUCAUUGUUGGUGCAGGUCUUUGUCAUGACUUCUCAAAACUUUUUGAGAUUUUGAGAGAAGGAUUGUGUCUUAAUGCUUUAUUUUCAUAAAAUAACCUCUGCAGAAAGUGUAGACGCGCACUAAUUUGGCGAUAUGCAUUAGCAUGGCAAGCAGGAAAAAAAAGAACAAUGUUGAUUUUGUCUUGUUUUGUGUUGGUGGUUUGUUGUCUUUUUGUUUCCCCAUGAAAAGCACUUUGCAGCUUGUUAGUUCGCAGCAGGAGGUGCAGCACUGAGCCCUAGGGCAGCAGAGCGAAGGUGACAUCUAUCACUUAGCGAUGUGGGUGUGCUAUAAAUAUGAUUGUCAGACCCCCCCCUCCGCCCCCGUCUGAGCUCUCCCAGUGACAGCUCUGAGAGGAAACAGCUGAGCUGCAGAGCUUCACUCUGCCACAUGCCUGCUAUUUCUGCUGUCACUUCCAAAGGAGAUCUUAAUUAUACUGGUGUGGCUGCUCGCUCCUGCCGAAACAACCCUACGCUGUAGCACAGGGCCGCUACAUUGAUAUGCAGGCUGCUGCUGCAAGUGGGUCACAUACACAUGCAGUCUCACACUGUGUCACUUCCAGUGCUGCUGACACCAGAAGCUAGUUGGCAGCAUACCCUGUAAGACACAAGUGUAGAAAGCCCAUAGGAUAAAUGCACUUAUAGCUCCAGAAAUAUGCACAUAAGAUCCUGUCAUUUUAAGAAAAGAGUCAACCUAACAACAUUUGGUUUCAGGGUGAGCAUCUGCAUCAGGCCCUGUGUGAGGGCUGUAUGAUAAAUGAGAAUUCUGUAGUUGUAAUGGGACCUAUGGUAACAAGAUGUCUUUGUUUUUCUUUGGUUUAAUAA